UCAAAGGCUGCAAUCUCCUGACUAUAGACUGGAGAGGGAGCUUCAAUGUAUUAUGCAUUUCAUGUCUGAUGUAUUGAAACCACUGGAUUUGGAUAAACAUGGCUCCUAUGGCUAGGGCUAGAAUUAGUGGGUAGUAAGCAGAGCAAUUGCCUGGGGCCUAAUGCAGUUAAGUUACAUCAUAUCUUCAGAGUCACUAGGGGAAGAGACUUUAAAGUGGCCUGACUAGAGGGCUAAGACACAGGAAGAGGUGGACCACCACAGUGCCAGAGCAACUGUGGGCAGGAGGUACCUGACAGGGAGAGAGCUGCUACUACAUGCCCAGACACCAGCAAGUGCCAACAGUGAGUCAACCUUCAUAAUGGGUAAAAGAUUACCAUUAUUUAUUGAAUGUAUUCAUUUUUAAAACAAAUUUAGAAAUCCUAGAAUCCAGUGAUUGUAAUAAUGUCUACUCUAAUGCCAUCUACUGCAUUGUCCUUGGUUUGCUUGUGCAAUUCCCAUUAACAUCAAACUAAGUUUCACUACAUAUCAGGUGAAGAAUAGUGCCCUAAGAAUGUCCUUUAUCACUUCUUGGAAAAAUAUGGAAUGAAACUGAUGAAUUUGUUGAAGCAAUAAUUCUUUCUGCUGAUGCCCAGAUUCUUGCAUCUGAACAACUAAAGUCUUGAAGAUUGCUGAAGAAUGACAAUGUUUUGUUUCUCAUUAGCAUCAUCUAUUAUCUUUGCAACAGUAGUGGAACCAGAGGAGAGUGUAGAAAUAUGUAGACUAGGAUAUCAUAAGCAAACUAUGACAUUGUUUAGGAAGGAAAGAGAUGCAUGAUCUACUGUAUGAAUCAAGAAAUAUAACAUUGUGGCACGGUGCUUUUCACUUUUGUUGGAAAAUGAAUCUCCACAGAGGGAAAUUGUCAUGUCUAAAGAUUUUCAAAGUCUUCUUAGCAUUAAUUCUUCAAACAAACUUCAGUUCCUUUUCAAAUGACCUGUUAAUUUCUCAUCUUUGAAUGGGAGGUGCUCCAAUCUACCACUAUACUUGGAAAGUCUUCAACUAGAUUUUGAUAUUCAAAUCAGACAUGCGCUUUGACCUUUAUUGCAGCUGUUCUAAUUGUAUAGGCUGUCUAUCCUGUUGUUUGACACAAUGAUUACAGGGGAUCAAAAUUUCACGAGACACAGAAAGGGUAGGUCUACAUUCAAUUAAAAACCCAUGGCUGGCACGUGCC